AAAUUGUGUGCUAAUGAUAAACAAGAAAUUACGCAUAUGGCAGCCCCUUUUGUUAAGAAAUUUGACAAAUUGGCUCCCUGGUUGUUCUGUGACAUUUCUGCUCAAGCCGUACACCAGAGAGCUGCUGGUCCUCGCUGGGUCCCAGUGGCCACCAGCCUAGCAUACUGGCAUGGUCGGUGUCUCUGCUGCAUCACUGAGGGAACACCUUGAACAACAACUGUGGCAUUUUGUACCGAUGAGGACCAGUCUUUCGUCGCCUGCUACCUAUAAACUAUUGAGAAAAUACAUCAGGACACGAGCCAGCUGUGCCCAAAGUGGGGGACACUGCUAGAACAACGGAAUGACACACUGUAUAACAUCUUAAAACUAGUGGAGCUGUCAAAGGAUGCCCACUGUUGAGGUUCAACCUGAAUAUUCAACAUGCCCAAGAGAUCAUUCAGGAUUCCAAUAAGAAGGCAGAAAAACAUGUGAGGGAUGUCAAUGCAGAUGGAUUUCCAGAUGAAUGUAGUGAGGGACAGACAAUGCGAAGGAACGAUGGAAUAGCUAAACUCCCUAUUAUGAAAAUCGGUACAUUGUACAAGGUUGUCCAGCAUCCUUGUACCAGUCGAUAUCAUCGUGGCCUCGCCUCCAGCCACACGGGAACUUCAGGAUAAGUUUACAGAUGUGACAGUCCUCGGCCUCGUAACCUUGGGGCAAAUCAGGACUGCCCAGCCU